AAAAAACUAAAAGACAAACAAAAAACAAAGAAAAAAAUGGCUAACAGUACUCUAAAAUAGGAUUCUAAAAUUGGCUAAUAUCAAUAGAGAAUCCCCGACAACAAUGCCAAUUUGAUUCGUUGGCGCGCAUAGAUAAAAACGAGUAAAUAAAGUGUAGUAUAAAGAAGUGACACUCGAUUCGUAUUGCAAGGACUCUAAGUUAAUUUAACAAAAG
rnacentral:lncRNA from 1 species